CUGAGACCUGAUGCCGAGCCGAUUGUGGUGAAGUGGAUGAUCCUAUGCUGUCGAGAAAAGCCUCUAGCGAGUUUCAUGGCGGCCCGUACCCUAAACCGACUCAGGUGGUCAGGUAGAGAAUACCGAGGCGUUCGGGUGAACUAUGGUUAAGGAACUCGGCAAAAUGCCCCCGUAACUUCGGGAGAAGGGGGGCCAUCACCGGUGAUGACAUUUACUGUCUGAGCUGGGGGUGGCCGCAGAGACCAGCGAGAAGCGACUGUUUACUAAAAACACAGGUCCGUGCGAAGCCGUAAGGCGAUGUAUACGGACUGACGCCUGCCCGGUGCUGGAACGUUAAGGGGACCGGUUAGUGCACUUUCGGGUGUGCGAAGCUGAGAACUUAAGCGCCAGUAAACGGCGGUGGUAACUAUAACCAUCCUAAGGUAGCGAAAUUCCUUGUCGGGUAAGUUCCGACCUGCACGAAUGGCGUAACGACUUCUCGACUGUCUCAACCAUAGGCCCGGUGAAAUUGCACUACGAGUAAAGAUGCUCGUUUCGCGCAGCAGGACGGAAAGACCCCGGGACCUUUACUACAGUUUGAUAUUGGUGUUCGGUUCGGCUUGUGUAGGAUAGGUGGGAGACUUUGAACCAGCCACGCCAGUGGUUGGGGAGUCGUCGUUGAAAUACCACUCUGGUCGUGCUGGAUGUCUAACCUGGGUCCGUGAUCCGGAUCAGGGACAGUGUCUGAUGGGUAGUUUAACUGGGGCGGUUGCCUCCUAAAGAGUAACGGAGGCGCCCAAAGGUUCCCUCAGCCUGGUUGGUAAUCAGGUGUUGAGUGUAAGUGCACAAGGGAGCUUGACUGUGAGACCGACGGGUCGAGCAGGGACGAAAGUCGGGACUAGUGAUCCGGCGGUGGCUUGUGGAAGCGCCGUCGCUCAACGGAUAAAAGGUACCCCGGGGAUAACAGGCUGAUCUUCCCCAAGAGUCCAUAUCGACGGGAUGGUUUGGCACCUCGAUGUCGGCUCGUCGCAUCCUGGGGCUGGAGUCGGUCCCAAGGGUUGGGCUGUUCGCCCAUUAAAGCGGUACGCGAGCUGGGUUUAGAACGUCGUGAGACAGUUCGGUCCCUAUCCGCUGUGCGCGUAGGAGUCUUGAGAAGGGCUGUCCCUAGUACGAGAGGACCGGGACGGACGAACCUCUGGUGUGCCAGUUGUCCUGCCAAGGGCAUGGCUGGUUGGCUACGUUCGGAAAGGAUAACCGCUGAAAGCAUCUAAGCGGGAAGCCUGCUUCGAGAUGAGGACUCCCACCCCCUUUGAGGGGUUAAGGCUCCCAGUAGACGACUGGGUUGAUAGGCCAGAUCUGGAAGCCCGGUAACGGGUGGAGGUGACUGGUACUAAUAGGCCGAGGGCUUGUCCUCAGUUG
rnacentral:rRNA from 1 species